UGAAUACGAGACGCUAAGGCGUCGAAGUAGUGUAUGUCAUACUUCCAAGAAAAGCUUGCACUGUCAUAGAUAAAAAACGCCUGUACCAUAACCGACACAGGUGGGUAGGUAGAGUAUACUAAGGGGCGCGAGAUAACUCUCUCUAAGGAACUCGGCAAAAUAACUCCGUAACUUCGGGAGAAGGAGUGCCUUAUUCGUAAGGUUGCAAUAACAAGAUCCAAGCAACUGUUUAUCAAAAACACAGGUCUCCGCUAAGUCGUAAGACGAUGUAUGGGGGCUGACGCCUGCCCAGUGCCAGAAGGUUAAAGAAGUUGGUUAGCAAUUGCGAAGCUGAUAACUGAAGCCCUGGUGAACGGCGGCCGUAACUAUAACGGUCCUAAGGUAGCGAAAUUCCUUGUCGGGUAAGUUCCGACCCGCACGAAAGGCGUAAUGAUUUGGAUACUGUCUCGGAGAGGGGCUCGGUGAAAUAGACUUGUCUGUGAAGAUGCGGACUACCUGCACCAGGACAGAAAGACCCUAUGAAGCUUUACUGUAACUUGAAAUUGAAAUUGGACUUUAUUCGCGCAGUAUAGGUGGGAGGCGUUGAUUAUAAUCUUGUGGGAUUAUUGGAGCCAUCAGUGAGAUACCACUCUUGUAAUGUUAGAUUUCUAACUUUGAAUCAUUAUCUGGUCAAAGAACAGUUUCAGGCGGGCAGUUUGACUGGGGCGGUCGCCUCCUAAACGGUAACGGAGGCGUACAAAGGUUUCCUCUGAACGGUUAGAAAUCGUAUCUAGAGUGUAAAGGCAUAAGGAAGCUUGACUGUGAGACCUACAAGUCGAGCAGGGACGAAAGUCGGUCUUAGUGAUCUGACGGUACUGAGUGGAAAGGCCGUCACUCAACGGAUAAAAGUUACUCUAGGAUAACAGGCUGAUCUCCCCCAAGAGUUCACAUCGACGGGGAGGUUUGGCACCUUGAUGUCGGCUCAUCGCAUCCUGGGGCGGUAGUACGUCCCAAGGGUUGGGCUGUUCGCCCAUGAAAGCGGUACGCGAGCUGGGUUCAGAACGUCGUGAGACAGUUCGGUCCAUAUCCGGUGUAGGCGUUAGAAUAUUGAGAGGAGCCUUCUUUAGUACGAGAGGACCGAGAAGGACAUACCUCUGGUGUACCAGUUAUCGUGCCAACGGUAAACGCUGGGUAGCUAUGUAUGGAGUGGAUAACCGCUGAAAGCAUCUAAGUGGGAAGCCCACCUCAAGAUAGGUAUUCUCAUCAU
rnacentral:rRNA from 1 species